UACGGGGGGGGCAAGCGUUGUUCGGAAUUACUGGGCGUAAAGGGCUCGUAGGUGGCCAACUAAGUCAGACGUGAAAUCCCUCGGCUUAACCGGGGAACUGCGUCUGAUACUGGAUGGCUUGAGUUCGGGAGAGGGAUGCGGAAUUCCAGGUGUAGCGGUGAAAUGCGUAGAUAUCUGGAGGAAUGCCGGUGGCGAAGGCGGCAUCCUGGACCGACAUUGACGCUGAUGAGCGAAAGCUAGGGGAGCAACGGG
rnacentral:rRNA from 1 species